UGAGAUUUAGCUAUUGCUUCUUUCAUCUUUAUUAAUCACAAAUCAAGAUACAAUUGUUUAAACUAAUCCAUGCUCAAAAUAGUAGUGGCUUUCAGCAUAUACAAGAGAAAUAUUAUCUAAGCUUAAUCUCAAAUUUAUAUCUUCAGAAGUCCAAAUACAAGGCAAAUUUCAAGGAUAACCAGGAGAGACUAGUUCUCUUGCUCUCAGUGAUAUCCUAGAGGGGCUGGUGCCUCCCUCAAUUCCUUGCCCUGAUAAUGAAUAUCAGAAGCAAAGUGGUUAACA
rnacentral:misc_RNA from 1 species